rnacentral:rRNA from 1 species
CGGACGGGUGAGUAAUGUCUGGGAAACUGCCUGAUGGAGGGGGAUAACUACUGGAAACGGUAGCUAAUACCGCAUAACGUCGCAAGACCAAAGAGGGGGACCUUCGGGCCUCUGCCAUCGGAUGUGCCCAGAUGGGAUUAGCUAGUAGGUGGGGUAACGGCUCACCUAGGCGACGAUCCCUAGCUGGUCUGAGAGGAUGACCAGCCACACUGGAACUGAGACACGGUCCAG